GAAGCUUUGCAGCGAACGUUCAGCCUGCUCAAGAGACUCAUAAUCGCUUGGUCGUUGGUUCAAACCCAACAGGGGCCACCA
rnacentral:tRNA from 1 species